rnacentral:rRNA from 1 species
UUGGAGGGCAAGUCUGGUGCCAGCAGCCGCGGUAAUUCCAGCUCCAAUAGCGUAUAUUAAAGUUGUUGCAGUUAAAAAGCUCGUAGUUGAAUUUCGAGAUCGGCUUACUGGUCGUGCUAUUGUACGUACUGGUAUAAUCGGUUUCUCCUUUCUGACGAACUAUAAUGCCAUUAAUUUGGUGUUUUAGGGAAUCAGGACUGUUACUUUGAAAAAAUUAGAGUGUUUAAAGCAGGCUCACGCUUGAAUACAUUAGCAUGGAAUAACGGAAUAGGACGUUUGAUUCUAUUUUGUUGGUUUCUAGGAUCGACGUAAUGAUUAAUAGGGAUAGUUGGGGGCAUUAGUAAUCAAUUGUCAGAGGUGAAAUUCUUGGAUUUAUUGAAGACUAACUACUGCGAAAGCAUUUGCCAAGGAUGUUUUCAUUAAUCAAGAACGAAAGUUAGGGGAUCGAAGACGAUCAGAUACCGUCGUAGUCUUAACCAUAAACUAUGCCGACUAGGGAUCGGAUGAUGUUAAUUUUUUAAUGACUCAUUCGGCGCCUUACGGGAAAC